GCAAUCAGCUGGGAGGUGAUGGAUGAGGAGGAGCACAGGUUAGGAGCAGCCAGUAGUGAUAGAGCUGGCCCACAGCUAUGAGCCUUGGGUGAGCUGGGAGCAGCUGUAGGGAAGGAAUUAAAACUUCUGAUUGAUUGUACGUGGCCCCACAGACUCAGUUCAUUGCUGAAGACUGGCUCUUUUACCACAGGGACGAAUGCAGGACCUUCACUGGCCUCAGGUAUGAAAAGUUUGCAGCCAGCAUGGUCAGCAGGGCUCCUAUUGGCCGGCAUCCAUUGCUAUGUGUUAUGAAGACAGAGAUGGAAAAAGCUUCAGAAUAAGCAAAACUUGAAUUGACACCAGUCUGAAGCCUGUAUUGGUGUCUCCAGCACAGCGAACCAGCUUCUCAUGGGAGAACUGGACCGCGUCCAAGCCAGGCUUCAAUAACACGGGAAAUGGAACGAGGGAUAAGAAAGAAAACAGUGCUGAGAGCAGACUGCAGAAGACAGAUCAUCAGAUAGUGUAAAUUCUGCUGGUACCGUGGAUGUUAAUGGCUCAACAGGACAUUUUCCUCCUCCAGACCCAGCCAGAACUUCUUUUACAGGUUCAGCUCUAAAUUCGUGAUCAGUUACAGAAUCACUCCUGAGGUACACCACAGGAUUCAGCCUGCAAAUGG